rnacentral:misc_RNA from 1 species
UUUCCGUAGGUGAACCUGCGGAAGGAUCAUUAUCAUACGUAUACACGUAUAAACCAAAUGUCGAACUGUUGAAUGUCCGUUAGGCUUGGGUAUGGUUGAUUCAGGGUUGGAAAUCAUUCAAUACAAAUAAGAUUUCGGUCUAAUAAGAUUUCGGUCUUUUUGUUUGAGAUGGUCAAAGUACCUUGAUUUAACUUAUACGGAAACUUGUUUCUGUAAGCCCUCGCCUAGCACGCGUAUAUUCCUUCUUAAACUUUGAUACAUCUUUUCUUUAUCAUUUUAACCCAUUUCACCCAAUCUUCAUAUCGAACUAAACUCGAUCCGCUUCGAAAGGAGCAACGAUCGCAAGAUACGAAACCUAAGAACAACUCUUAACAACGGAUAUCUUGGCUCUC